CCUACGGGGUGCAGCAGUGGGGAAUAUUGGACAAUGGGCGAAAGCCUGAUCCAGCCAUGCCGCGUGUGUGAAGAAGGCCUUCGGGUUGUAAAGCACUUUCAGUGGGGAAGAAAGCCUUGGGGCUAAUACCCUCGAGGAAGGACAUCACCCACAGAAGAAGCACCGGCUAACUCCGUGCCAGCAGCCGCGGUAAUACGGAGGGUGCGAGCGUUAAUCGGAAUUACUGGGCGUAAAGCGCGCGUAGGCGGUCUGAUAAGCCGGUUGUGAAAGCCCCGGGCUCAACCUGGGAACGGCAUCCGGAACUGACAGGCUAGAGUGCAGGAGAGGAAGGUAGAAUUCCCGGUGUAGCGGUGAAAUGCGUAGAGAUCGGGAGGAAUACCAGUGGCGAAGGCGGCCUUCUGGACUGACACUGACGCUGAGGUGCGAAAGCGUGGGUAGCAAACAGGAUUAGAUACCCGGGUAGUC
rnacentral:rRNA from 1 species